AACGAACGCUGGCGGCGUGCCUAACACAUGCAAGUCGAACGGAGUGGCGAACGGGUGAGUAACACGUGGGUGCUCUGCCUUGCACUCAGGGAUAAGCUUGGGAAAGUGGGUCCAAUACCGGAUAGUGCAAGAUGAGCUCGCGGCUAAAUAGCUUGUUGGUGGGGUAAUGGCCUACCAAGGCGUCGGCGGUUAGCCGGCCUGAGUGGGUGUACGGCCACACUGGGACUGAGGUAGGGACCAGAGUCGUACGGGGGGCAGCAGUGGGGAAUAGUGAACAAUUGGCGGAGGCCGGAUGCGACGACGCCGCGUGGGGGAUGAAGGCCUUCGUGUUGUAAACUCCUUUCGACAGGGACGCGGUACCUGUAUAAGAAGCACCGGCUAACUACGUGCCAGCAGCCGCGGUAAUUC
rnacentral:rRNA from 1 species